rnacentral:rRNA from 1 species
CGCCAGACUCCUACGGGAGGCAGCAGUGGGGAAUAUUGCACAAUGGGGGAAACCCUGAUGCAGCGACGCCGCGUGAGCGAUGAAGUAUUUCGGUAUGUAAAGCUCUAUCAGCAGGGAAGAAGAUGACGGUACCUGACUAAGAAGCCCCGGCUAACUACGUGCCAGCAGCCGCGGUAAUACGUAGGGGGCAAGCGUUAUCCGGAUUUACUGGGUGUAAAGGGAGCGCAGACGGCAGCGCAAGCCAGGAGUGAAAGCCCGGGGCCCAACCCCGGGACUGCUCUUGGAACUGCGUGGCUGGAGUGCAGGAGGGGCAGGCGGAAUUCCUGGUGUAGCGGUGAAAUGCGUAGAUAUCAGGAGGAACACCGGUGGCGAAGGCGGCCUGCUGGACUGCAACUGACGUUGAAGCCCGAAAGCGUGGGGAGCAAACAGGAUUAGAUACCCCGGUA